rnacentral:rRNA from 1 species
GUCACACUCCUACGGGAGGCAGCAGUGGGAAUAUUGUACAAUGGGGGCAACCCUGAUACAGCAAUGCCGCGUGAGUGAAGAAGGCCUUAGGGUUGUAAAACUCUUUCCGCCAGGGAAGAUAAUGACGGUACCUGGUAAAGAAGUCCCGGCUAACUCCGUGCCAGCAGCCGCGGUAAUACGGAGGGGACUAGCGUUGUCCGGAAUUAUUGGGCGUAAAGAGCUCGUAGGCGGUUUGUCACGUCUGCUGUGAAAAUCCAAGGCUCAACCUUGGACUUGCAGUGGGUACGGGCAGGCUAGAGUGCGGUAGGGGAGAUGGGAAUUCCUGGUGUAGCGGUGGAAUGCGCAGAUAUCAGGAGGAACACCAAUGGCGAAGGCACAUCUCUGGGCCGUAACUGACGCUGAGGAGCGAAAGCGUGGGGAGCGAACAGGAUUAGAUACCCUGGUAG